rnacentral:tmRNA from 1 species
GGGGUUGACUGGAUUUGACAGCAAGUUGAGAUGGUACGUAAGCACGCGGAGUGACGGCUGUAAACUCCUAAAUCAAUUCGGUCAAAAAAUUAAUUGGCAACAAUGAGUAUGCUCUCGCUGCCUGAUCGAAGCAUAGUAGAUUAAGGCUCAAUCCGGUCACAAGGUGGCUGGACGAGACGUCGCUCCAAGGGUGUUGUUCCGAAUCCAAGGACCAAGCGGCGCAGGCAAAUCGGGAAUAGUCGUUCAUAGCCCCGUAUGCACGAUGAAAUUUUGGGGAUAAGGCUCCAGUUGGUGGUCCAGGUCUUGCUGUAGCACGAAAAUCAAAGGCUGGAAUAAGCGUGUAGAAAGCGUAUGGUUUCCUUGUUUGGACGCGGGUUCGAUUCCCGCCAGCUCCACA